rnacentral:snoRNA from 14 species
AAACCAUGUUUACUACUACUUGUCACCUCUCCCCUUGAGAUUUCGAGUAUUUUUGCGAUGCAUGGAAAAUGAAAUUUCAAAAAAUCUGACCAGGUUUCUUUCUAACCCUUAUAGCUAGAAAGUUACAAUGUUAGUUGACAAUU